UACGUAGGGUGCGAGCGUUGUCCGGAAUUACUGGGCGUAAAGAGCUCGUAGGCGGUUCGUCGCGUCGGCUGUGAAAUCCCGAGGCUCAACCUCGGGUCUGCAGUCGAUACGGGCGGACUGGAGUUCGGCAGGGGAGACUGGAAUUCCUGGUGUAGCGGUGAAAUGCGCAGAUAUCAGGAGGAACACCGGUGGCGAAGGGCGGGUCUCUGGGCCGAUACUGACGUGAGGAGCGAAAGCGUGGGGAGCGAACAGG
rnacentral:rRNA from 1 species